rnacentral:rRNA from 1 species
UCUUCGGAGAGUUUGAUCCUGGCUCAGAACGAACGCUGGCGGCGUGCCUAACACAUGCAAGUCGAGCGCGAAAGGAGCAAUCCGAGUAGAGCGGCGCACGGGUGCGUAACACGUGGAUAAUCUGCCCUUGAAUUCGGGAUAACCAUUCGAAAGUUUGGCUAAUACCGGGUAAGCUCACGGUGACUUCGGUCGCUGAGAGAAAAGUAGACCUCUAUUUAUAAGUUUACGUUUGAGGAUGAGUCCGCGGCCCAUCAGCUAGUUGGCGGGGUAAUGGCCCACCAAGGCUACGACGGGUAGCUGGUCUGAGAGGACGAUCAGCCACACUGGAACUGAGACACGGUCCAGACUCCUACGGGAGGCAGCAGUGGGGAAUUUUCCACAAUGGGCGAAAGCCUGAUGGAGCAACGCCGCGUGUGUGAUGAAGGUCUUCGGAUCGUAAAGCACUUUCGACCGGGAAGAAAAACCUCUGGCUAACAUCCAGGGGCCUGACGGUACCGGGAG